CUCGUAGGCGGCCAACUAAGUCAGACGUGAAAUCCCUCGGCUUAACCGGGGAACUGCGUCUGAUACUGGAUGGCUUGAGGUUGGGAGAGGGAUGCGGAGUUCCAGGUGUAGCGGUGAAAUGCGUAGAUAUCUGGAGGAACACCGGUGGCGAAGGCGGCAUCCUGGACCAAAUCUGACGCUGAGGAGCGAAAGCCAGGGAGCAAACG
rnacentral:rRNA from 1 species